rnacentral:rRNA from 1 species
CUCAGGAUGAACGCUGGCGGCGUGCUUAACACAUGCAAGUCGAACGGAACUCCUAUGAACGAGGUUUCGGCCAAGUGAAUAGGAUGUUUAGGUGGCGGACGGGUGAGUAACGCGUGAGUAACCUGCCUUGGAGUGGGGAAUAACACAGUGAAAAAUUGUGCUAAUACCGCAUAAUGCAUUUGGAUCGCAUGAUUCUGAAUGCCAAAGAUUUAUCGCUCUGAGAUGGACUCGCGUCUGAUUAGCUAGUUGGCGGGGCAACGGCCCACCAAGGCGACGAUCAGUAGCCGGACUGAGAGGUUGGCCGGCCACAUUGGGACUGAGACACGGCCCAGACUCCUACGGGAGGCAGCAGUGGGGAAUAUUGGGCAAUGGGCGCAAGCCUGACCCAGCAACGCCGCGUGAAGGAAGAAGGCUUUCGGGUUGUAAACUUCUUUUGUCAGGGACGAAGCAAGUGACGGUACCUGACGAAUAAGCCACGGCUAACUACGUG